rnacentral:lncRNA from 1 species
GUAGGUUUCUAGAGUUCCAUAUUUCUUUUCUAUUGUUCUUGAGAACCACUUAUUUCAGCCAUUUUCAGGGUGUAAGAGUAGGGUGACUCAUGGCCACUAGAUUUGGGCUUCCUGCCCACCACAUGGAUAAGUGGCAGCUAAUUUUGGGAGUUGGACUUUGGACCACUGGCAAUGGCCCAUGCCGCCAUCUCUGGUGAUCAGGAACUAAUGUACAGAGAUGAGACUGGACCAGAGAGGUGGAUGUCUCGGGACAAGUCAGAAGAGAAUUCCUGAUUAUGACUAUGAUCCAAAGCUGGGACUCUGAGGACCAUUAUGAAGAAACUGGAAAGAAUGAUGUAAAUAUACAACCAGCCAAAGGCAUAUUCUUGCACAAAUGUCAGCUAUUUUGGUGAAUUAUGGGAGGGACUAAAGGGGACCUCAAGAACUGGAAUGGAAGCAAAAACCCUUUCAGCUAAGGUCAGUAAUUUCCCUGGAGACUGUGAGGUGUGUGUAUAUAGGGGGUGGAGAGGAGAGUUGGGGUUGGGGGGAUUAGGGAGGGGAGUUAUUAAUAUCUGCAAGUGUAGCAAGGAAUCUGCAUGGUUUGCACUUUUUGUGUCCCUUCAUAGGAAUGUUGAUCAAAGAGUGCAGAGCUCAGAGAGGCAGGAUCUGCCCUGCAAACUCUUCUGGUGCUGGGAAUUUGGAGAGGAAUUGAUUGGGAGGUCUCCUGGAGAUAAGGCAACGGAAAGGAGGCGUUGCCAUGGCAAAGUAUACAGGCAUUUUUUUUUCUUUUAUGAGUUCGGCUCCACAGACCCAAAUAUACAUAGCUAUCCACAGGAGAGGGUGAGUGUAAGUGGAUCAUGGCCAUAUAUGAAGAGGAAAUAGAUCCCAUUUUUG